rnacentral:rRNA from 1 species
AGAUUGAACGCUGGCGGCAUGCCUUACACAUGCAAGUCGAACGGCAGCGCGGGAGCAAUCCUGGCGGCGAGUGGCGAACGGGUGAGUAAUAUAUCGGAACGUGCCCAGUAGUGGGGGAUAGCCCGGCGAAAGCCGGAUUAAUACCGCAUACGACCUGAGGGUGAAAGCGGGGGGAUCGCAAGACCUCGCGCUACUGGAGCGGCCGAUAUCAGAUUAGCUAGUUGGUGGGUAAAGGCCUACCAAGGCAACGAUCCUGUAGUUGGUCUGAGAGGACGACCAGCCACACUGGACUGAGACACGGCCCAGACUCCUACGGGAGGCAGCGAGUCGGGAAUUUUGGACGAAUCGGGUGCGAAGGCCUGGAUCCCAGCAAUCGCCGCGUGCA